GAUGAACGCUGGCGGCGUGCCUAAUACGUGCAAGUCGAGCGAACAGACGAGGAGCUUGCUCCUCUGACGUUAGCGGCGGACGGGUGAGUAACACGUGGAUAACCUACCUAUAAGACUGGGAUAACUUCGGGAAACCGGAGCUAAUACCGGAUAAUAUAUUGAACCGCAUGGUUCAAUAGUGAAAGACGGUUUUGCUGUCACUUAUAGAUGGAUCCGCGCCGCAUUAGCUAGUUGGUAAGGUAACGGCUUACCAAGGCGACGAUGCGUAGCCGACCUGAGUGGGUGAUCGGCCACACUGGAACUGAGACACGGUCCAGACUCCUACGGGAGGCAGCAGUAGGGAAUCUUCCGCAAUGGGCGAAAGCCUGACGGAGCAACGCCGCGUGAGUGAUGAAGGUCUUCGGAUCGUAAAACUCUGUUAUUAGGGAAGAACAAAUGUGUAAGUAACUAUGCACGUCUUGACGGUACCUAAUCAGAAAGCCACGGCUAACUACGUG
rnacentral:rRNA from 1 species